UCCCUCUGCUCUCCUCCUCCUCCUGCCAUGCCUGGGGAAGAGGAGAGCUUUCUUCAUUCCAGGCUUGAGGGUUGUCUUCUGCCAGAGGAUCAUGGCGAGGAAGAGCCAACACUGGGCCGGCGGUGGCAGGGACAGCCCAGUGGUUUCCAUGGCAAUGUGGCUUGCCACUCCUCCCCGCGCCCUCCAUCUCCUCCUCCAUCCUCCCCCCUCCAACUCUUCCUUCUCCUCCUCAGGCUACACCGCUUGGGCUGCCGAGGGCAAAGAGGCGGGCAGCUGCCUGCCCGCAGGAGCGGAGCACCCGAAGCAGUUUCUGCUGCUGCACCCCUCUGCCACCGCUUGGCUCCCUCUAUCAGGCUUCAGUCUCCCUGAGGGGCUCCUCCACUCCAUGCCCACCUUGGUGGUGGCAGCAGAGGAAAAGGAAGCGGCAACAUGAGGGAGCUACUGGGCGACGGAGAGGAGGAGGAGGAGAAGCUGCCUGAAAGACUUGAGGCUUUUGCUUGACACCCUUGCCAAACCUGUAGGCGUUUGGAGAGCGAGGAAAGGCAGCAAUGGCUCAUACCAAGCAAACUGCUUGCAAGUCCAUCGGCGGGAAGGCUCCCCGCAAGCAGCUGGCGACGGAAGUGGCUCGGAAGAGCGCCCCGGCCACCGGGGGAGUGAAGAAGCCUCACCGCUACCGCCCGGGCACUGUGGCCUUGCGGGGGAUCCGCCGCUACCAGAAGUCCACCGAUCGAACAAGCAUUUGAUUAAACAGUGUAAUUGAACAUAGGAAUACAGAAUAAUGGAUGACAAGACUGGAUUCUGAUUUUACUGUUGAGGCGCUAAUGAUUGUUAUACUGAUGUUAAUGAUUUAUGUGAUAAUUGAUUUUAAUUGCCCUAUACUUGUUUUGUGAUAUUUUGUACUGAUGUUGUUCACCGCUUUGAGUCGCCUGAGGGCUGAGAAAAGCGGUAUAGAAAUAAAGUAAAUAAAAUAAAAUAAUAUACCUGGCAUAUUAGAAGACCCCCAACUUCUGAGAGGAUUUUCCAAAGUUUAAAAGUCAUCUUACAUGCCGGAAAAUACGGUAGAUGGUUUUGGAAUUUGAAAGAUUUUGUAAUUCCAGACAACAAUUGCUCAACCUGCAAUGCCCUGUUCAAUUGUUUUGUGAAUGUCAGUUAUAUGUUUACACAGAUGGUGAGUCCUUUUUUAAUUUAACUUUUAUAAUUUGGUAUUCAUCUUCCUGAGAAUGAGAUAAGGACCACAUUAUAUUGCUUUCCUAUUCUUUUUUUUUAAAAAAACAACAACAUUACAGUUUGAAAUUAGGAGUGGGCAAAGUGAAGACACAUCCAGUCCCACAAGACUGUAUUUACAGCCUUCAAUCAUUUCAAAUCCCCCAGAAGCCUCCAUGAAUAGCAACUUACCUUUCAAAUAUGUUGCAGGAACCUUUUGCUCUGUUUAACAUUGGGAAAACAAACAAUUUUCAAAAACAGAAGUGGACUUCCAGCCCUGUUAGCCAUGCAACUAUAAAAGUCUGAGACCUUUUGUUUGUUGUGUUUUAGUCAGUAUAUUAAAUAUUUUUGUUUACCUUGA